AUGUAUGAGUUUAGCUGUAAUACAGAAAAUAAAGAUUUCCUUUCUGGUCCAGAGCUGAAGACCAGACAUUUUGCUCAAAUUGAAAAAAAGUCAUUAAAUUUAAUAUAUUUUUAUCUUCCUCUGGCACGGGAGGUUAGUAGAGAAAUCCUUCUCAGGUGCAGACUGCAAAUGGACUCCAUCCAAAAUCUCCUGAAGUCAAUACAGAAAAGUUCAUGCUCUUCAUUUGAUAUUGGAUCAAGUCUUCUUUUCAUCUCUGACCAAGAUUACUUUCACAAUUCUGGCCUGUUUCUGGGUAAUAGAGGAGCAGAUCCAUGGACACGGUGUGAGGAAGAAAAGAUCUUCCAAAUGAAUGCAGCUUCAGAUAAUGGCCUCUCAUGGUACUAA
rnacentral:lncRNA from 1 species